rnacentral:rRNA from 1 species
ACGGGGUGCAGCAGGCGCGAAACCUCCGCAAUACACGAAAGUGUGACGGGGUUACCCAAAGUGUUCAAUUUUGAACUGUGGUAGGUGAGUAAUGUUCCCUACUAGAAAGGAGAGGGCAAGGCUGGUGCCAGCCGCCGCGGUAAAACCAGCUCUUCAAGUGGUCGGGAUAAUUAUUGGGCUUAAAGUGUCCGUAGCCGGUUUAGUAAGUUCCUGGUAAAAUCGGGUAGCUUAACUAUCUAUAUGCUAGGAAUACUACUAUACUAGAGGGCGGGAGAGGUCUGAGGUACUACAGGGGUAGGGGUGAAAUCUUAUAAUCCUUGUUGGACCACCAGUGGCGAAGGCGUCAGACUGGAACGCGCCUGACGGUGAGGGACGAAAGCCAGGGGAGCGAACCGGAUUAGAUACCCGGGUAGUCCUGGCCGUAAACGAUGCAUACUAGGUGAUGGCACGGCCAUGAGCCGUGUCAGUGCCGUAGGGAAACCGUUAAGUGUGCCGCCUGGGAAGUACGGUCGCAAGGCUAAAACUUAAAGGAAUUGGCGGGGGAGCACCACAAGGGGUGAAGCCUGCGGUUCAAUUGGACUCAACGCCGGAAAACUUACCAGGGGAGACAGCAGUAUGACGGUCAGGUUGACGACCUUACCUAACGAGCUGAGAGGAGGUGCAUGGCCGUCGCCAGUUCGUGCCGUGAGGUAUCCUGUUAAGUCAGGCAACGAACGAGAUCCGCACCUUUAUUUGCCACCAAGAAGUCGCGACUUCGUUGGGAACACUAA